rnacentral:rRNA from 1 species
UACGUAGGGUGCGAGCGUUAAUCGGAAUUACUGGGCGUAAAGCGUGCGCAGGCGGUUUUGUAAGCCAGAUGUGAAAGCCCCGGGCUCAACCUGGGAAUGGCAUUUGGGACUGCAAGGCUUGAGUGCGGCAGAGGAGACUGGAAUUCCUGGUGUAGCAGUGAAAUGCGUAGAUAUCAGGAGGAAUGCCGAUGGCGAAGGCAGGUCUCUGGGCUGACACUGACGCUCAUGCACGAAAGCGUGGGGAGCAAACAGG